AGAGUUUGAUCCUGGCUCAGAACGAACGCUGGCGGCAUGCCUAACACAUGCAAGUCGAACGAGACCUUCGGGUCUAGUGGCGCACGGGUGCGUAACGCGUGGGAAUCUGCCCUUGGGUUCGGAAUAACAGCUAGAAAUGGCUGCUAAUACCGAAUAAUGACGUAAGUCCAAAGAUUUAUCGCCCAAGGAUGAGCCCGCGUAGGAUUAGCUAGUUGGUGAGGUAAAAGCUCACCAAGGCGACGAUCCUUAGCUGGUCUGAGAGGAUGAUCAGCCACACUGGGACUGAGACACGGCCCAGACUCCUACGGGAGGCAGCAGUGGGGAAUAUUGGACAAUGGGCGAAAGCCUGAUCCAGCAAUGCCGCGU
rnacentral:rRNA from 1 species